AGCUGGGGAGCGUCAGGGGCCCAAGGCAUUGCUGGCGAGCGUCGCAGGGCUCAGGGCUCCGGCAGGGCGCCUCGGCUCCCCCGGAGCGUCCACGGAGGUGUCGGAGAUCCCGAGGGUCCGGGGGUUGGGGGGGCGUGAAGUGGCAGCAAGACAUGCAGUUACUGACCUCUUAUUAGCCAGACGACGCGUUAAUGACACGUUCCAAUGGAAGGUUCGACGCAUGGGGAGGUACAAUUCCCCUAAGCAAGGCAAGUGUCAUGCCAACUACGAUAAAAAACGAAAAAUACACAAAAAAAAUACAAAAACAAAAAAUCAAAAAAAAAUUGUCUUGUUUUGCUUUGUUUAAAGCGUCUUGUAUGUUGGUAUGGCGGGUCUUCUCUGGGGAGAAGGAGACUAACGCGUUCCAACAUACAAAACCAGGAAAAGACGACAUGGAAACACCGAGAGAAGGAGGGGAAAGAAGGGAACACCAGAAGAAGGAAAAUGAAGAGAAGUAACACUAGAAGAAGGCAUAUGAAGUAACACAAGAAGAAGGUAUUGAAAAGAGUAACACAGAAGAAGGUAUUGAAAAGAGUAACACAGAAGAAGGUAUUGAAAAGAGUAACACAGAAGAAGGUAUUGAAAAGAGUAACACAGAAGAAGGUAUUGAAAAGAGUUACACAGAAGAAGGUAUUGAAAAGAGUAACACAGAAGAAGGUAUUGAAAAGAGUAACACAGAAGAAGGUAUUGAAAAGAGUUACACAGAAGAAGGUAUUGAAAAGAGUAACACAGAAGAAGGUAUUGAAAAGAGUAACACAGAAGAAGGUAUUGAAAAGAGUAACACAAGAAGAAGGAAUUUGAAGAUAAAUAACACAAGAAGAAGAAAUGUGAAGUAACACCAGAAGGAAAAUGCAGAGAAGUAACACUAGAAAAAUGAAAAUGGAAAUGAAAAGAAUCAUCCACCUUUCGGCCCAAACCAACAUCACAAAAUUAUGGGCGAGUCUCUUCUGGGAGGAAAGCGGCUCGUUCAGACCCAGGAACACCAGAAAGGAUGAAAGAAACAUCAAGAAAAGGAAAACAGAAAAGUCAUCCACCUUUCGGCCCCU